GACACCCUCUUCUGUGGUGGGGGUGAGAAGGCACCGGUGCCACUAGUCCCUGACCUCUCCCUCAGACAAGUUACAAAUGAAAACUGAGGGGGUGGAGUAGCUAUGGAAACCAGGAGGGAAGGAUUUUUUUUUAAUGCAAAUGAAUUAGAACAAAAUGACUGGCAUCCCUUUUUCUUUUUCCAUCUGUGACAAAAAUUCUGUGUCCUGGUUUCUACCUUCACUUGGAGUAAAUUAUGGGGGAAAGAACAUCAUGAAGACCUGCUAUUGUCAGAGUGUCAUUUCCUCUUUCUAUCUUUCUGUGGAUUAAUUUUAAAUCCAUUUGAUAGAAUUAAUCAUACAAGCCAGUCUCAUUUCCCUGCAAAUGUCUGCCUCCGUGCAGGUGAUUUUGUAGAAAGGAGUUUCUCCAAUAAAGCAGAGCUUCUCUUUCAACUCCAUGGACAUCAGAGAGAGUCCCUUUCAAAAAAGGAGGCUCAGGUCUGGAGAGACAAAGGCCUCUACUUUCGAAAAGGCCUCUUGGAUCAAGCCCAGGUCUCUAUUUUGUGGAGUUAGGACAGCAUUAAAUACAAAAUGAAGAAAAUGAAGGACAGAUCUCUAGUGCAUAUACCAGCUUUACAGUUUUCUAAAUGCAAUGCCACAAAAUGUGCCACUGAUGUCACAAGAGCUUGUAAGCCAGCUGGGGACCCAGACACAUCAGAGCUCUGUCGGAGCAUUCUGAACAAUCACAGUAAGAGAAAUGCAAUGACAGCCAUGCUUCAUCUCCAGCUGUUUCCUGAGAAGAUGACAGACCCUCAUCAGAGCUGACAACAUGUCCAGCCUGCACUACUGCAAGAAAUUCUUUGUCUAUGGUAGUGUGGUCAACUGAAGAAGCCGGCUUAGUUGCUCCAGUCAGGUGCUCACACUAAGAAAGGUUGGGUGAAGGUUAUAAAGUGGCUGUGAAUGAGAACUCAGUUUGGGCUCUACCAAGCAGGGAAGCCAUGCAGAGAUGAGAAAGGUGAAAGGCAUGAAACCAUGUUAAGCAG